GACGAACGCUGGCGGCGUGCUUAACACAUGCAAGUCGAACGGUCAGGCCCUUCGGGGUACACGAGUGGCGAACGGGUGAGUAACACGUGGGUGAUCUGCCCUGCACUUCGGGAUAAGACUGGGAAACUGGGUCUAAUACCGGAUAGGACCACUGCCUGCAUGGGUGGUGGUGGAAAGCUUUUGCGGUGUGGGAUGGGCCCGCGGCCUAUCAGCUUGUUGGUGGGGUGAUGGCCUACCAAGGCGACGACGGGUAGCCGGCCUGAGAGGGUGACCGGCCACACUGGGACUGAGAUACGGCCCAGACUCCUACGGGAGGCAGCAGUGGGGAAUAUUGCACAAUGGGCGCAAGCCUGAUGCAGCGACGCCGCGUGAGGGAUGACGGCCUUCGGGUUGUAAACCUCUUUCAGCACCGACGAAGCGCAAGUGACGGUAGGUGCAGAAGAAGGACCGGCCAACUACGUGCCAGCCGCCGCGGUAA
rnacentral:rRNA from 1 species